GCCAUGUUGGCGGAAGAUAAAAGUCGGAGGAACCCACUUAUUCUUCCACUUCCUCCUCAGAUCUGAUCAUGAUGAUGCAGGCGGGUUGUGAAGAUGCACCUCUAACAGGUGCGAGAAGCUUGGGGUGCAGGCCUCUGAUCACGGGCUUCAAAGGCUGGGCAAAGAUGAGAAAUAAAGUGACCCUUAGCAGGGUAGUCUACAUUGCAAACUGAUCUGAAUCACCCAUGCUGCUACUGUGUGCCCAGUUGGGCGAUCGGUUGGAAGCAUGAGGGAUGCCAUGUGGACUUCUGCACAUAGCCUUUUGGAUGAACACUGAAGAAGGCAGUAGUGGAAGUCUCAUGGUUUGACUUCUUCAGCAGAAGAGCUAUGGUGUCCUUUGAGAAAGGUUCCUGGCUUUGGGACGUUUCAAUAGAUGAAUCUACCAUCUUUAGGACAAGAUGUUUGUCAAGGGAGAAAGAUACCCAUGAAUGGUCCGGCUUCACCACCAAGAAGACGAAGGAUGUCAGCUUUCUCAAACAGAACUCCAGGAGAGUCUUACAACCCUGACAUGAGAUUCCAUCCAAAAGGUUUUCACCCCCCUGUAAUGGGAAUUUGAGGUUAAACUUGAUUGCUCUGGCAUACUGACCUGACUUCUACGGAUUCAUAAAGUCCCUCAAGCCUGCCCUUUCUUGUUGGCUCUCCACAACUCAUCUGAGAUGUUUGAUUAAAGGUUGACUUGACAUCUUUUCCUGCUGGGAAAGCUGCAGUUCCUGGAAAACUACUCAUCAGGUAGCAGUUGGAGGGACAAGUAUUUCAAGAUCAUUGGAUUUGUGACUUCCAUGGUGGAACAAGUUGGCAUCACAGCACUUAACAUUCCCAAAUUUGAAACCUUUAUCAACUUAACCUGUUGUAUGUUUUGACAGGGUAAUUGUAAUUGUAAAUAAAGCAUAAAGUACAAAACUA